rnacentral:rRNA from 1 species
AUUGAACGCUGGCGGCAUGCUUUACACAUGCAAGUCGAACGGCAGCGCGGGCUUCGGCCUGGCGGCGAGUGGCGAACGGGUGAGUAAUGCAUCGGAACGUGUCCAGUAGUGGGGGAUAGCCCGGCGAAAGCCGGAUUAAUACCGCAUACGACCUGAGGGUGAAAGCGGGGGACCGAAAGGCCUCGCGCUAUUGGAGCGGCCGAUGUCGGAUUAGCUAGUUGGUGGGGUAAAGGCUUACCAAGGCGACGAUCCGUAGCUGGUCUGAGAGGACGACCAGCCACACUGGGACUGAGACACGGCCCAGACUCCUACGGGAGGCAGCAGUGGGGAAUUUUGGACAAUGGGGGCAACCCUGAUCCAGCCAUGCGGCGUGCGGGAAGAAGGCCUUCGGGUUGUAAACCGCUUUUGUUCGGGAAGAAAUCCUCUGGGCUAAUACCCCGGGGGGAUGACGGUACCGGAAGAAUAAGCACCGGCUAACUACGUG